UUUAAGUAUGUAUGUGGAUUUCUAUGUCUAAAGUUUGAUCGUUCGUUUUGUUUUAAACUUUUUGAUUAGUAUUUUUGUUGCUAUUAGAUGAUAAAACAUGAAUAAUAUUUUAUGCGCGACUUUUUUUUAUUUUUUUUAUAAAUUCGUUAAAUAAGAUGUGCGGUCAAACGACAAACACGGAAACCCGCUAAUGUAUUUAAA
rfam:Oryza sativa Japonica Group DNA, chromosome 2, cultivar: Nipponbare, complete sequence.